GAUAAACGCUGGCGGCGUGCCUAACACAUGCAAGUGGAGCGACGAACCAGGGCUUGCCCUGGGGCAAAGCCGCGAACGGGUGAGUAUCACGUGGGUAACGUGCCCCGAUGACCGGGGCAACCCGAGGAAACUCGGGCUAAUACCGGAUGUGCUGUGCGACCUCAAGGCCGUUCAGUAAAGGAAGCUUCGGCCUCCGCAUUGGGAGCGGCCCGCGGCCCAUUAGCUUGUUGGUGAGGUAACGGCUCACCAAGGCAACGAUGGGUAGCUGGUCUGCAAGGACGAGAAGCGACACUGGGACUGGGACACGGCCCAGACGCAUACGGGAGGCAGCAGUGGGGAAUCUUGCGCAAUGCGCGAAAGCGAGACGCAGCAAGGCCGCGUGAGGGAAGACGGCCUUCGGGUUGUAAACCUCUUUCAGGAGGGACGAAGGUUCAGGCGCGAAUAGCGUCCUGGACUGACGGUACCUCCAGAAGAAGCUCCGGCUAACUACGUGCCAGCCGCCGCCGUAACAC
rnacentral:rRNA from 1 species